rnacentral:tRNA from 5 species
GUAGUUCAGUCGGUUAGAAUACCUGCCUGUCACGCAGGGGGUCGCGGGUUCGAGUCCCGUC